rnacentral:rRNA from 1 species
GAAUAUUGCACAAUGGGCGAAAGCCUGAUGCAGCGACGCCGCGUGAGGGAUGACGGCCUUCGGGUUGUAAACCUCUUUCAGCAGGGACGAAGCGCAAGUGACGGUACCUGCAGAAGAAGCACCGGCUAACUACGUGCCAGCAGCCGCGGUAAUACGUAGGGUGCAAGCGUUGUCCGGAAUUACUGGGCGUAAAGAGUUCGUAGGCGGUUUGUCGCGUCGUUUGUGAAAACCAGCAGCUCAACUGCUGGCUUGCAGGCGAUACGGGCAGACUUGAGUACUGCAGGGGAGACUGGAACUCCUGGUGUAGCGGUGAAAUGCGCAGAUAUCAGGAGGAACACCGGUGGCGAAGGCGGGUCUCUGGGCAGUAACUGACGCUGAGGAACGAAAGCGUGGGUAGCGAACAGG